CAGGGGAGAUGGACGGCGGAUUGGGAGAGGCGGCGGGGGCGACGCGGCGGAGCAGGGGCGACGGACGGCGGGGCACAGCGUCUAUGGCGGCUGGUCGCCUUGCUAGAUCGAACAAGACGAGAGAGGGAGAGAGGCGAGAAGUGAAACGAACGGGCCAACCCUCCUCUGUCUCGCGUGUUGAGGAAACUGCACGAGGACGUAUUAGUCCAGAUUUCGUUCAUUAUUAGCUAAUUGAACAGAUAACAACGCCAAGGGGGGCAAUCAGCAAGAAGGAGAUGGUACUGAGGGGCUUCAGAGGGAGGCAAACCAAGAAAGGGUUCUAUCAUCGAAGGCGAGGGAACUGGGGGGGUUAAAAUCAAUUCUCCCGCCUCGGCCUCUCCCGCAUCGCUCCACCUCGACCUUAGUCUCUGUCCACACCAUCGAGCGUGGCUGGCAGCGUUUGAAGCCAUGGAACCAGCAAGGAAGAUAGAUCGGCACGCCUUGGUUUCCGCUCAUCUUGGAGUGUCCGGUUUUCCCUCUAUCGUGACUGUUCUUUCCCUUUCUCUUGCAGGAUCACCAAGGCUGCUGCUGGUUGUUUGUCUCUGCGGAUUCUUGGCUUCUCCAGCGUGGUGCGUCUUUAAUCAACAUGGAAAGAUUCGGUUCUCUAUUGGUUGUUGCUCCUUGGGGCUUGUCUUUAACCAGGAAGCUGGGAUGCCUGCUCUUUCAUGUCGGCUUCUCAUUUGACAAAGCAUAUGUCCGUGGUUUAGAUCCAUGCUUGUGCAACCUACAGAAUUUGUUGUGCUGGCUCUUGCUUGUGCUUUACUGUUUGUCCUUCAGGAGACCAGCACAAUGUCGUUUCCUUUUUGUAGUUACUCAUUCAUACAUGCAGGUUCUUGGGGCAUCCAAUAGAAUGAAACUUUUAUUUCGAUGCCUAGUGCGUCCUUUGUUUGCUUCCUAUUAAUCUGUUCAAUGGCCAGUGUGUCUUUUGUUUGCUUCCUAUUAAUCUUAUCGUCUAUUUUUGUUCUAAAGCAUGAGGUUGCUUGUUCUUUUGUUCCGUUGUGCCCAUCAGAUUUCAUCUGUGUUUGACUCUAGGCUCGUCGUGCACUUGGAGAUUCUUGUAUUUUGUCUGCUUUGCACGGCUUGUUGCCGACCAAGGUUUGUGCUUGCUCUUUGGAGCUGCCCCUUAAACAUUGUCACUGAAAUAAUCUUGUUGCCUCUUAAAUACUGUCACUGAGACACUUUCCUCGGUUCUGUUGUUAUGGCUUUCACUUGCUUUGUCAUCUACCGCCUUGUGAUCUUGCCCGUUGGACGCCUUGAUAUCAAGGUCCUGUUCUCGGUGUCUUCGCUGCUUUGCCGAGUAUUGUCUGCUUGCAUCCACCCACUAGCCACCGAUCCAUUGUUUUCGGCCAUGACAGCUCGACUGAUCAGUCCAGCCCAGUGCCUACACCGCAGAUCAACCACCCUGCAUAGCACUUGAUGCGCGGCCGCUGAGCUGAUCCUUCUGCGUUCAUAGAAGGCCUUUGAUCCGCUUCCUUAUUCAAUGGGGCUGACUACAAUCUGCUACACGUGUCGUGGUGUCGCUAGAGAAACUGGCAUGGAGGUCGUUGACAUUACAGACAAGUUCAUGCUUGAGGUGAUGUUCAUUAAGUUGCAGCUCCCACAGCCACAGUUCUUCUGCUGCAAAGUUGGGGAAAGAUUUGUAGUCACAAUGAAGUUUCAUCAGAGCACACAACAUCAGCGACGUGAUGAUGAAGCAAUGACACAGGGGUAUAUCCACUUCGGGGAGGAUCUACUUCCACAGCCUAUGUGGCUUUAGAAGAUGCCGAUACUACCAGCUACAGCAGCCUUAUCUGAAUAUCCAGUUAUUACCUCUGUCUAGAGAAGAUCACUGCCAUGGUUCAUCUGCCAGUCUAUCCAGAGCUUCUUCUAUCCUGUCGAUGGACUUUGAACUUUAAGCUAUCCCUGGCUAUAUUAUGUUAGUUGCUAUGGCAAUGGCAUGUAUAGAGUAAACAGUCAGCUAUGUUCUAUGUUUUGAAUUUAAAAUAGAAUUACCACUGGGCGCAGCAAAUGAUCCUGAUAAUUGUUAUUACUCCCCUGCUUUCGUUUAGAUGUUUGACAUGUGUGCAUGCCCUAAACAGAUAUAAUCUGAGGCAAGGCGCUUUC